AGCAGAAGUAAAAGAAAGCGUCGUCUCGGAAAGGAAAUAGAGUACGAUAAUGUCGUUCCAAUUGUCAUUAUGGAAGGUGAAGAAGAAGAAACUGAACCAACAAAGAAGAAGAAAAAGCGCGGAAGGCCAUCCCUCCCAGAUCACAAAAAAAAAAUCAUUAUCCUGUCAUGAGGAUUUAUCUAGACAGAGUUUUCGACGCAGUACCAGAAGGCAAUGCUCAAAAGGAACGGAUUAGGGAGGCUGGAUUUUCCACAUUUCUAGACUUGAAGUUUACCGAACUUGACCGGUUUUUUCUGUCGUGGUUAAUUGGUCAGUGGGAUCCUGAAACCCAGUAACUACGCAUUAGGGAUGAUUAUGAGAUCAAUAUUAAGUGGUGGGGUGGAUAUAUGGGCUACAAUUCAGUGAUUAUACAUUCACUAUUGAAGACAGUGUUACAGGUAAUAGGAUAAGAUUUUACAGCUUUGGAAACAAAUUAUGAUAAUGUAAACACUUUUUAUAACCUCCCAUUGUAUAGAUCGUAUAAAGCGAAAUUUGAAUAUUUUUCCCUAUGGUGCGUACUAAAUGCAAAGGACAAAGAGUACAAGAAGCUGAAGACUUCCUAUUCCAACAGAGGGGGGAUAGGUUAUGGCAUGGUUCGGCAAGAUAUAAAAGAUAAUCUGGACAACAAAGAUAGGUUCUUGAAGUCAUAUAUUUUCCAUGUAUUUGGAAAUCUAAUAUGUUCAACUCUGAACAAUUGGAUUAGUCCACUUUUAUGCUGGAUUUUGAAAUCGCGGUACCUGAAAGAUGCACGGAAUUGGAAUUUUUCAAAGUUUGUGCUUGAUUGGAUGAUCAAGCAGCACAGAGAAAUGGAUGCAGAGAAGGGUGGUGUCAAGGGAUGCAGAUAAAUGGAUGCUCAUAUAAUAAUAUUGUCCUAUACAGAUUGCAUACCUUGACUGAUUGAAAUUAGGCGAUAAAGGGCAUAGGUGGCAUACCGAUAGACCAAGGCUUGGAUUGUGGCAGCAGGAUGAUAUUGAAUGAGCGAUUCAUGCAGACACUGUUAGUGAUGGGUCGUAUGGUGCAACGGAGGUUGUUAGGGAUGUUGUGUAUGGGAAAGAAUACCCUAUUGGUACGCGGAAGGACCUUCCUAUGUGGAUGAGGAGUCCGCCUCCUGUGAAUCCUAAAGUAACCGUCGUGGAAAGGAAAAGAAAAAGACGGGAAUGCAAAGCAAAGGUCAGGGACUUGAAAGACUACAAAGACAUUCAACACUUGAGUUCUUCCGAAGAAGAAGAGACAAGCAAAGGAGAUGAGGAAGAAGCCACUUUGAGUCGUACUCAGAAGAGUAACAGAAACAAGACAAAGAAUGAGGAACUUCAUGUAGUUCCACCUGCUUUAAUCCUAGGAAGGGUUACAAGAGCAAGAAGCAGAUUGAUACAAAGGACAAAUCCUGUUAAAGGGGAUAAAAAUGUAAAUCAGUUAAAUAUAAAGUUUAUGGCAAUGUGUUUGAUACAGUUUAGCAUUUAUUGCCUAUAAGCAUAUAAUUAUUAGGAUCGUGUUAUAUAUUACAGUAGCUUAUUAUUCAUAAAAGCAUGAUAUUGAAUUCUCACAUGUACAACAAAAAAAUGGAAACAAGGACCACUGGGAAAGGUGGCAGAACAACAACCAAGGGUGUUAUCUCAAAAAAGAAAAGUGCAAAAGCUAAAAAAGAUUCAAGUGAGGAUGAAUUAAGCACUAAGAUCAGCAGUGAAGAUGACAAGGCUAAUGACGAUGAUGAGGAGAAGGAUAGGAAUAAGGAGGGUGAUGAUGAUGAUGAUGAUGAUGAUGAUGAUAGUUAAGAAAAUGAAAGUGAUGAAGGGAGUAAAGGAGAUGAUGACGAGGCUGAUAAGUAGGUGACAAACCCCAAAUCUGGGAAAGGAGAUGAGGGUGGGCCUGACAAUGGUAAGAAUGGUAAUGGGGGAAAUGAUGGUGAGGCAGAUAAAAUGGAGGAAGAUGAUGGUGGGGAAGGCCUAAUGGUGGGAGAUGAUGACAAAAAUGAAAAGAAUGCACAUCCGGAUGUGGAAACCGACAUCGAUUACCUGAGCGACCGUGAUGACAAUGAGUGCUUGCCCCAGAUUUUUGAUCACCAAGGACAUAGAAUCACGACGAUAUGUGACAAAAAGUCUAACUAUAGUAGGGUGAGUAACAACUAUUGUCGUUAUGUGUAUCUGUGUACCUUCCUUUGUUAGAGUAGAUAAUGAUAAGUGUUUUAAUCAAACAGGUUUAAAGAGCAGAUUUUGUUCAAAUGGUAUGAUGUAACAGUUAACCGUGAAUUAGUACACAAAGCAUGUAAGAAGAAGUCUCCCAUUUCAGUACAGGCAAUGAUUAAAUUAUAAAA